GGGCCGGAGAUUGAGAACAGUUGAAAGUGUAUACAGUCGUGUAGAAGAUGAGAAGGUCAUGUCUGACCACAAAGGACAAAAGGAGAAAAACAGGAUGUCAGGUUGGGCAGUAAAAACAGGAACUUGUAACCGCAGAAGCAUUAAUGACGCCAAUAUAGGUAACCAAUGAAGAGAACCCCUUGCUCGCAUGUAUUGCGCGUGGACAAGGUGACUUAGCCAAUAAGCUUAUGCGUGAUCGCGUGUACGGAAGUGAAACAAACAUAAAUGUAGUCAUAGAAGCUUCAAUAAACGGAGUUCUGCUUUACCCA